UGAGUAAUGCGAUGAGCUGUUAUUGUUUUUCCUUAAGAAGUUCAUGUCAUAUUAGUGUUUGCUUCAUUCUCCCUUGUGUCGCUCGAGAUUCCGUAGCUCUGUCUCUUCACAUCUCACCACCACCGGUGUUCUUCUCUGAAACGACUACAGUUAUUCAGAUUACAUUAAUCCAAGCAUUAACAUCUUAUGAACAACUUCUCCCACUCUUUUGAAUUAAAUUGGCCACAGCUAAAUCCAAAGUAACCGACUAAAACUUGACCUUUAUAUAUCUUCGUUUCUUGGGAUGAACAGCCCCAACGAAAAAAAUCCCAAAAGUCUCUCUCUGCCAAGCAUCAAAUUCAUCAAUGGUGAAUUUGUUUACAAUAGAUAUCACCUCCGAUAGAACUCAUCAGUCAUCACUCAUCACUACGAUGAGAAAGUGUUGGGUUUCAUCAAAGGAUAUUUCUUUGAUAUUGCUUACUUUGAUCAUAUGUGCACUAUAACACCCUCCAAGAACUUGCAUUGAUGACAGCUCUUUUAUUUCCUGUUUUCAACUUUCAACUUCUGCAAUUUGGAUCUGUUGUGUUCCGUCAUACGUGAACAUGGUCUGUGAUGGAAUGCAGAAUUCAACCCUAUACUCCAUUGCAAAAUACGAGAAGCCGACCAUUUAUUUACUGAGCUCGGUACCAUAGAUGUAAGUUCUCUUUCCUGCUUCAGUAUAACAUAUCCGGCUAAAAAAAUUUAAAAAAAAAAAGCUGCUAGCGAUUUCCAUUUCCAACAUAAUCUUUACUUUCUCAGCGUUUGGUACAUAUAUCAUCAUGAAGGUUUCAUAUCUUGACGCUUUUUGAAAUAUGAAGGAAGUGACAAGGCUUCUGAUACUAGACCAUAUCCAGAGGUUUGAGACCAACUUAUAUGGUCUUGCAUUGAUGAAACAAUGAUUGUGUUAAAAAUUACUAAUCAGAUGGAACCGUUCUCAAUUGUUUUGAGUGCAAGAUCUUCAAAAGUUUAUAUUUUCAUGACUUGGGCUUCAUAUGAUUAAGCACGACAAGGAACAAAGAUAUUUGAAGUAUAUCAACCAAUUGUUCGCCAUUAAAUUGCCUUUCUUUAGUUUGCCAUUGUAUGUAAAGUCUAUCAAAUUGUUCAAAUUGUAAUUCUUUAGUUUCCGAGAUGAACUCUGCAAACAUUGAAUAUGAUAAAUCUAUAAUGAUAGCUUGAAGA